CCUACGGGGGCUGCAGUGGGGAAUAUUGGACAAUGGGCGAAAGCCUGGUCCAGCCAUGCCGCGUGUGUGAAGAAGGCCUUCGGGUUGUAAAGCACUUUCAGUGGGGAAGAAAGCCUUGGGGCUAAUACCCUCGAGGAAGGACAUCACCCACAGAAGAAGCACCGGCUAACUCCGUGCCAGCAGCCGCGGUAAUACGGAGGGUGCGAGCGUUAAUCGGAAUUACUGGGCGUAAAGCGCGCGUAGGCGGUCUGAUAAGCCGGUUGUGAAAGCCCCGGGCUCAACCUGGGAACGGCAUCCGGAACUGUCAGGCUAGAGUGCAGGAGAGGAAGGUAGAAUUCCCGGUGUAGCAGUGAAAUGCGUAGAGAUCGGGAGGAAUACCAGUGGCGAAGGCGGCCUUCUGGACUGACACUGACGCUGAGGUGCGAAAGCGUGGGUAGCAAACAGGAUUAGAUACCCUAGUAGUC
rnacentral:rRNA from 1 species